UAAUUAACUUUUAAUGUAAUCCCAUUUCUACCCUCUAAAGUUCCCUUUAUAUAUAAUGGCUUUUACAAGUCCAAGUUCAUAAUCAUCAUCAACAACAGCUUCUCCUUUAAAUUUUUCUUUUUUUACAUCAUAUUAGUUGUGGAGCUAUUGCUGCCUGCUGGUUCUUCACAAGAACCUUUGAAGUUAUUUGAUUUCAGGAUUACUCAAAUAACAAAACAUGAGUAGGAGGAAUGGAAAUGGUCCAAAACUUGACUUAAAGUUGAAUUUAUCACCACCAAGGAUCACGAACCAUCACAACCAGCACCAGCACCAGCACCACAUUGAUCAACAUCCAAUAAGGAUGCAAGAGUCGUUAUCGCCUAAUAGGUCAUUGACAACAUCACCAACAAGCUCAUGUGUGUCCUCAGAGGAUUCACCAGCUCGUCAACGCCACCGUGCCAACAGCCCAGAAACAGCAACAUCUAUGGUACUAGUUGGGUGUCCAAGGUGUUUGAUGUAUGUCAUGUUAGCUGAGGCUGAUCCAAAAUGCCCCAAAUGCAAGAGUACUUGUUUGCUUGAUGUCAUACAUGAGUCCAGCAAUAGUACUAGGAGAAGGAUUACUUAAGUUUUUUCUUAUCAUUUCAAGAAAAUCACCCCUGUUUCCCCCCUUUUUUUUUAGUUUCUAUAAAUAGCACUACUUGAGCUCCAUUUUUUGACUUAAAACUUUUGCCAUAUGAUGAAAAUUAGAAAUGGGAAUUUGGAGCUUAAUUAGUACUAUUUUGUUUGUUAAUUUUAAUAUAUUGUUUUGAAGGUUUCUGUAAUGUUUGUUGCUCACUUUUGUAGGAAAAGUAGUAGUUGUAGGGUUAGUGAGUUUUAAGGAAUGUUACAUCUUUUGCAGAAGAAGAAAAAGAAUUUGUAAAUGGGCCAACUAAAAGUGCCCACAUUUUCUUAUGAAAAAAAAAAGAAAUAUAUAUAUAUGGUGAAAUUUUCCAUUCA